rnacentral:rRNA from 1 species
UUCGUAGGUGGCUCGCUAAGUCAGACGUGAAAUCCCUCAGCUUAACUGGGGAACUGCGUCUGAGACUGGCAAGCUCGAGUGCAGGAGAGGAACGCGGAAUUCCAGGUGUAGCGAUGAAAUGCGUAGAUAUCUGGAGGAACACCGGUGGCGAAGGCGGCGUUCUGGACUGCAACUGACACUGAUGAACGAAACGCCGAGGGGAGACAAACG